rnacentral:misc_RNA from 1 species
UGCUUUCGCCACUGGUGUUCUUCCGAAUAUCUACGAAUUUCACCUCUACACUCGGAAUUCCACUUACCUCUCCGAUGUUCAAGCGAUGCAGUCUUAAAGGCAAUUCCAGGGUUGAGCCCUGGGCUUUCACCUCUAACUUACAAAGCCGCCUACGUGCGCUUUACGCCCAGUAAUUCCGAACAACGCUAGCCCCCUCCGUAUUACCGCGGCUGCUGGCACGGAGUUAGCCGGGGCUUAUUCUCCCGGUACUGUCAUUAUCAUCCCGGGUAAAAGAGCUUUACAACCCUAAGGCCUUCAUCACUCACGCGGCAUUGCUGGAUCAGGCUUUCGCCCAUUGUCCAAUAUUCCCCACUGCUGCACCCCAUAGGG